UAUGUCAUGCCAUCCCGUCUCAGGCCAUCAUGCCGAGGCGUGUCCAGCGGUACACAUCAGUGUCUUUAAAAAAAAAUAACACACCGCAAGUGACACUAUGCACAGUGUGCUGUACCGACCAUCAUUGUCCCCUUUGCCCCACUUCAAUAUACAAGCCCCGGUGUAGGGCAAAGGUUUUGCAGCACAUGCAUGUAGGUGCAUGUAAGGAAUGCCAUUCAACAUGAAGAUUUCUUCAUAACAAAAUGCCACCAGGCCUGCAGGAGUGGAAGCAGUGGUCCAUUCCA